CUGGCUCAGGAUGAACGCUGGCGGCGUGCCUAACACAUGCAAGUCGAACGGAGUAAUUAAGCGGAAGUUUCGGAUGGAAGCAUAGUUACUUAGUGGCGGACGGGUAGAGUAACGCGUGGGCAACCUGCCCUGUACCGGGGGAUAACACUUAGAAAUAGGUGCUAAUACCGCAUAAGCGCACAGCUUCGCAUGAAGGUGUGUGAAAAAACUCCGGUGGUACAGGAUGGACCCGCGUCUGAUUAGCUAGUUGGUGGGGUAGAGGCCUACCAAGGCGACGAUCAGUAGCCGGCCUGAGAGGGUGACCGGCCACAUUGGGACUGAGACACGGCCCAAACUCCUACGGGAGGCAGCAGUGGGGAAUAUUGCACAAUGGGGGAAACCCUGAUGCAAGCGACGCCGCGUGAGUGAAGAAGUAUUUCGGUAUGUAAAGCUCUAUCAGCAGGGAAGAAAAUGACGGUACCUGACUAAGAAGCCCCGGCUAACUACGUGCCAGCAGCCGC
rnacentral:rRNA from 1 species